GACGAACGCUGGCGGCGUGCCUAACACAUGCAAGUCGAGCGGAGUCAGUAAGAGGAAGUUUUCGGAUGGAAUCUUAUUGAUUUAGCGGCGGACGGGUGAGUAACGCGUGAGCGACCAACCUUGCACAGGGGGAUAACGGACCGAAAGGUUCACUAAUACCGCAUGAGACCACGGUGUUGCAUGACACAGAGGUCAAAGGAGCAAUCCGGUGCAAGACGGGCUCGCGUCCGAUUAGGUAGUUGGAGGGGUAACGGCCCACCAAGCCUAGGAUGGGUAGGCGACCUGAGAGGGUGAUCGGCCACAUUGGAACUGAGAUACGGUCCAAAAUCCUACGGGAGGCAGCAGUGGGGAAUAUUGGGCAAUGGGGGAAACCCUGACCCAGCAACGCCGCGUGAAGGAAGAAGGUUUUCGGAUUGUAAACUUCUGUCCUUGGUGAAGAGAAGAAGAUGGUAGCCAAGGAGGAAGCCCCGGCUAACUACGUGCCAGCCGCCGCCGUAACAC
rnacentral:rRNA from 1 species